rnacentral:rRNA from 1 species
AAAACAUGUCUUUUUGGAAAUAAUAUAAAGUCUAAUCUGCCCACUGAUAAAAAUUGAAGGGCUGCAGUAUAUUGACUGUACAAAGGUAGCAUAAUCAUUAGUCAUUUAAUUGAUGACUUGUAUGAAAGAUUGGAUGAGAUAUAUACUGUCUCUUAUUUAGUUAUAAAAUUUAAUUUUUUUAUUAAAAAGUUAAAAUGAUUUAAAAAGACGAGAAGACCCUAUAGAGUUUAAUAAAUGAAUAAUUUAAUUUUAUUUUGUAAAAUAAUAUUAAAAAUUAUUUAUUUAUUUUAUUGGGGUGAUAGAAAAAUAAAUAAAACUUUUUUUAAAGAAAAACAUUUAUAAGUGAUUAAAUGAUCCAAUAAUAUUGAUUAUAAGAAAAAAUUACCUUAGGGAUAACAGCGUAAUUUUUUUUUUUAGUUCAAAUAAGAAAAAGAGUUUGCGACCUCGAUGUUGGAUUAAGAUAAAAUUUGAAUGUAGAAGUUUAAAAUUUUGAUCUGUUCGAUCAUUAAAAUCUUACAUGAUCU